rnacentral:lncRNA from 1 species
UGUGUGAAUGAUGAAGAUGUUGUUGUUAAACCUAUGAAAUUUGAUUGAAUUGUGUGAUGAUGAAAAUGUUGUUGUUAAACCCAUGAAAUUUUAAUGAAUUGUGUGAAUGAUGAAAACAUUGAUGUUAAACCUAUGAAAUUUGAUAGAAUUGUUUGAAUGAUGAAGAAAAUGUUAUUGUUAAACCCAUGAAAUUUCAUUGAAUCGUGUGAAUGAUGAAAACGUUGUUGUUAAACCCAUGAAAUUUGACUUAAUUGUGCGAAUGAUGAAGAAAAUGUUGUUGUUAUACCUAUGAAAUUUGAUUGAAUUGUGUGAAUGAUGAAAAUGUUGUUGUUAAACCCAUGAAAUUUGACUAAAUUUUG